GCCCCAAAGCCGCAAAAUGGCGGACACAAUGAGCCGGAAUUGCCGCCGCCUUCUUCCCGCCGCCUGAGCCCGGAAUCCGCCCGAGGGCAAAGUCGCUUCGGUCCUUCGCCGCCUCGGCUUUCUUCUCCCGCCUUUCCCGUCCCUACCCCACCCCCACCCCCACCCCGCCUCAGGCUAGCCCUCCCCGACUCCGCUUCCCCUCCCCUUGGCCGGCGCGCAGGCCCCGCCGGUUCCCUUUCCUCGUAACCCGAGGCGGCAUGAAGCUGACGGACAACGUGCUGCGGAGCUUCCGCGUGGCCAAAGUCUUCCGCGAGAACUCGGACAAGAUCAACUGCUUCGAUUUCAGCCCUAAUGGCGAGACGGUCAUCUCCAGCAGCGACGACGACUCCAUCGUGCUCUACGACUGCCAGGAGGGAAAGCCCAAGAGAACACUUUAUAGUAAAAAAUAUGGAGUUGAUCUCAUCAGAUACACUCAUGCUGCCAACACGGUUGUAUACAGUUCCAAUAAAAUAGAUGAUACUAUCAGAUACCUUUCUCUUCAUGACAAUAAAUACAUUAGAUAUUUUCCAGGACAUAGCAAGAGAGUUGUUGCUUUAUCUAUGUCUCCAGUGGAUGAUACCUUUAUAUCUGGCUCACUUGAUAAGACUAUCAGACUUUGGGAUCUUCGGUCACCAAAUUGUCAGGGUCUGAUGCAUCCACAAGGAAAACCUGUAUGCUCAUUUGAUCCAGAGGGGCUGAUUUUUGCAGCUGGGGUCAAUUCCGAAAUGGUGAAACUUUAUGAUCUUCGCUCCUUUGAUAAGGGUCCAUUUGCUACCUUUAAGAUGCAAUAUGACCGAACCUGUGAAUGGACUGGCCUGAAAUUCAGCAAUGAUGGAAAACUUGUUCUUAUUUCAACUAAUGGAGGGAUCAUACGGCUCAUUGAUGCCUUUAAAGGAGCGGUUCUUCAUACUUUUACAGGAUAUAAUAAUAGCAAAGCUGUCACAUUGGAAGCUUCAUUCACUCCAGAUUCUCAGUUUAUAAUGAUUGGAUCAGAGGAUGGGAAGAUUCAUGUCUGGAACGGAGAGACUGGAAUGAAGGUAGCAGUACUUGAUGGGAAACACACAGGACCAAUUACCUGUUUGCAAUUCAACCCCAAGUUUAUGACAUUUGCCAGCGCAUGCUCUAAUAUGUCUGUACACUCUUUGGCAUGAGGCAUCUAAGAGACAAGAUAGUAAUCAUCAAAUAUCUGAAAUAAUGCUGAAGAAGGAAUGGGUUUACUCUAUAUUGACCCAGAAGGAAGGACCAAAAUCAACAGGUUAAAACUAAAAGAACUGUGGGCCUUUUGGUUGCCAACUAUAGAUGACUAAUCUGAAUUCAUCACUUCCAGUGGACAGUUUCCAUACUGUAUUGAAAGCAAUGCAGUAUUUUUAAAGACAACAGUGAAAGUAUUGGAAUUGGGUCAGUUGGAGAUGAAUAUUCCCACCAAGCACAUUCUGCAUGUAUCUCCUUUUGUCAAGCUCUUUCCUGCAUCUCCCACAAAGGAUUUCUUCAUGUGAUUCUACAAUUCCUGCUCUGAACAUCUCUUCCAACAUCAAAUUGAAGCAGAACUAUUACAGCUGAAAUCAACUAGCAGCUUUGCUUUGGAGUACAUUCGGAAAGAAUUUUGCCAGCUCUUUGUCUUU